ACUCAAAUGAAUUGACGGGGGCCCGCACAAGCGGCGGAGCAUGCGGAUUAAUUCGAUGCAACGCGAAGAACCUUACCUGGGUUUGACAUCACGUGAAAACUCGCAGAGAUGCGGGGUCCUUCGGGGCGCGUGACAGGUGGUGCAUGGCUGUCGUCAGCUCGUGUCGUGAGAUGUUGGGUUAAGUCCCGCAACGAGCGCAACCCUCGUUCGAUGUUGCCAGCGGUUCGGCCGGGGACUCAUCGAAGACUGCCGGGGUCAACUCGGAGGAAGGUGGGGAUGACGUCAAGUCUUCAUGCCCCUUAUGUCCAGGGCUUCACGCAUGCUACAAUGGCCGGUACAAAGGGCUGCGAUGCCGUAAGGUGGAGCGAAUCCCAAAAAGCCGGUCUCAGUUCGGAUCGGGGUCUGCAACUCGACCCCGUGAAGUCGGAGUCGCUAGUAAUCGCAGAUCAGCAUUGCUGCGGUGAAUACGUUCCCGGGCCUUGUACACACCGCCCGU
rnacentral:rRNA from 1 species